rnacentral:tRNA from 1 species
GCCCUAGUAGCUUAGACAUAAAGCACCGGUCUUGUAACCCGGAGAUUGAAGAUUCGACCCUUCCUAGCGCA